GAGAAGCAACUAUGUACCCUCAUCACUCAGGACUGCCCUUAAUACAUUUUCCUGGAACACACAGGGUCACCACCACACCAGGGAGCCUAUCUGGCGGCCAGGAUGAGCCUGAGGAGCUCCAAGGGACAGAUUUGGAGACCUAUUGCACUGGCCUCAGCAGGAGUUGUCACCCUCAGCAUCUAGUGGCCCUGAAAAGCAGCAGCAAAGAACCCAUGUAUCAGCAGGUGGCAAUGCUAGUGUUGUAACGUGCUUCACAUCAAUGACAGGUCCAGGCCUGCAGUAGCUGAAAUCCUGGGUUUAUAGAGUUGGCUGCUCCCUAGAACUUUCCCAGAAACUAUGGUCCAUGCUUUCAGUUCCUCCCAGCCCUUAUCUCCAUCACUGCUGCUCCCUGUUAUCUCUGCCCUGGCUGCUCCCUGAAAUGCCAGCUGCCCUCUCAUUGCUUCUGCCGCUGCUGCUGUGGCUGCCGCUGCAGAUUCCACUGUCUUCUCUGAGUCACCGGCUCAACCCACUCUACUAAUGAUAAGGAUCAGAAAUAGGCAAGUAGACCAUUCCCGAAAAGCUUUUCAAGGAGCUAAUGAUGCAGCAGCAGGAAAUAGUACAACGCUCCUAGCUGGCUCAAAAGUGAGCCAAAUAGCUUGCUUGUUAUGUUUUGUUUGUUUUUCAUGGGCUUUCCUGUUGGGACAGGAAGAGAAGCACUCUGCUGUAUCUGGGUAAAAAUGGCAGUUGGUCAUCUGGAACGGGGCUUUUUUCCUUUGUGACAUUUUCUCUCUCUCACACACACAAACACGUACAGACACCCACCUGACCCCCCCAAAAAAAAUUGUCACUUUUAAUUGUUUUCAAGAAAGGCCUAGCAGGACCCUGUGUAAGUUCCUACCCAGUCACCUCAACCCUGGGUAUAUUCAAUAGAUAAACAAGUAGACCAUGUGCCUGGAUGUGGUGGCACAUGCCUGUAAUUCCAGCACUUUAAAGGCAGAGGUUGGCGGAGUGCUGAGAGUUUCAAGCCAGCCUGGUCUACACAGCAAGUUCCAGGUCAAGUCAGGGCUACAUCAUGAGAACCUGUCUCAAAACAAAAACAAGUCAAACAUCUAUUGCUUACAAAUCACAAAUAAUUUUAUUUUGAAGUGACUUUUGCUACACAUAUAAUUUAACUCUUUCUUAAAGAAAAAGUAAAAUUUGCGUGCUGAGGUGGUGUACUUAUUUAUUUUUAUGUUAAGAACUGCCGACAUGGCUACCUGCUAUCUC
rnacentral:lncRNA from 1 species